rnacentral:rRNA from 1 species
UCAGGAUGAACGCUGGCGGCGUGCUUAACACAUGCAAGUCGAACGAGCCUUCGGGCUAGUGGCGGACGGGUGAGUAACGCGUGGGAAUCUGCCCUCAGGAGGGGGAUAACGGCCGGAAACGGCCGCUAAUACCCCAUAUGCCGAGAGGUGAAACGAAUUUCGCCUGGGGAUGAGCCCGCGUCUGAUUAGCUAGUUGGUGAGGUAAUGGCCCACCAAGGCUUCGAUCAGUAGCUGGUCUGAGAGGAUGAUCAGCCACACUGGGACUGAGACACGGCCCAGACUCCUACGGGAGGCAGCAGUGGGGAAUUUUCCGCAAUGGGCGCAAGCCUGACGGAGCAACGCCGCGUGAGGGACGAAGGCCUCUGGGCUGUAAACCUCUUUUCUCAAGGAAGAAGACAUGACGGUACUUGAGGAAUAAGCCACGGCUAAUUCCGUGCCAGCAGCCGCGGUAAUACGGGAGUGGCAAGCGUUAUCCGGAAUUAUUGGGCGUAAAGCGUCCGCAGGCGGCCUUGAAAGUCUGUUGUUAAAGCGUGGAGCUCAACUCCAUUUAAGCAAUGGAAACUACAAGGCUAGAGUGUGGUAGGGGCAGAGGGAAUUCCCGGUGUAGCGGUGAAAUGCGUAGAUAUCGGGAAGAACACCAGUGGCGAAGGCGCUCUGCUGGGCCAUAACUGACGCUCAUGGACGAAAGCCAGGGGAGCGAAAGGGAUUAGAUACCCCUGUAGUCCUGGCCGUAAACGAUGAACACUAGGUGUCGGAAGAAUUAACCCUUUCGGUGUCGUAGCCAACGCGUUAAGUGUUCCGCCUGGGGAGUACGCACGCAAGUGUGAAACUCAAAGGAAUUGACGGGGGCCCGCACAAGCGGUGGAGUAUGUGGUUUAAUUCGAUGCAACGCGAAGAACCUUACCAGGGUUUGACAUCCUGCGAAUCCCUUGGAAACGGGGGAGUGCCUUCGGGAACGCAGUGACAGGUGGUGCAUGGCUGUCGUCAGCUCGUGUCGUGAGAUGUUGGGUUAAGUCCCGCAACGAGCGCAACCCACGUCUUUAGUUGCCAGCAUUCAGUUGGGCACUCUAGAGAGACCGCCGGUGAUAAACCGGAGGAAGGUGUGGAUGACGUCAAGUCAUCAUGCCCCUUACAUCCUGGGCUACACACGUACUACAAUGCUACGGACAAAGGGCAGCAAACUCGCGAGAGCUAGCAAAUCCCAUAAACCGUGGCUCAGUUCAGAUCGUAGGCUGCAACUCGCCUACGUGAAGGAGGAAUCGCUAGUAAUCGCAGGUCAGCAUACUGCGGUGAAUACGUUCCCGGGCCUUGUACACACCGCCCGUCACACCAUGGAAGUUGGCCAUGCCCGAAGUCGUUACUCCAACCCGUAAGGGAGGAGGACGCCGAAGGUGGGGCUGAUGACUGGGGUGAAGUCGUAACAAGGUAGCCGUACCGGAAGGUGCGGCUGGAUCACCUCCUAA